rnacentral:rRNA from 1 species
UAGGGAAUCUUCGGCAAUGGACGAAAGUCUGACCGAGCAACGCCGCGUGAGUGAAGAAGGUUUUCGGAUCGUAAAACUCUGUUGUUAGAGAAGAACAAGGACGUUAGUAACUGAACGUCCCCUGACGGUAUCUAACCAGAAAGCCACGGCUAACUACGUGCCAGCAGCCGCGGUAAUACGUAGGUGGCAAGCGUUGUCCGGAUUUAUUGGGCGUAAAGCGAGCGCAGGCGGUUUCUUAAGUCGGAUGUGAAAGCCCCCGGCUCAACCGGGGAGGGUCAUUGGAAACUGGGAGACUUGGGUGCAGAAGAGGGGAGUGGAAUUCCAUGUGUAGCGGUGAAAUGCGUAGAUAUAUGGAGGAACACCAGUGGCGAAGGCGGCUCUCUGGUCUGUAACUGACGCUGAGGCUCGAAAGCGUGGGGAGCAAACAGG